rnacentral:rRNA from 1 species
GACGAACGCUGGCGGCGUGCUUAACACAUGCAAGUCGAACGGAAAGGCCCUGCUUUUGUGGGGUGCUCGAGUGGCGAACGGGUGAGUAACACGUGAGUAACCUGCCCUUGACUUUGGGAUAACUUCAGGAAACUGGGGCUAAUACCGGAUAGGAGCUCCUGCUGCAUGGUGGGGGUUGGAAAGUUUCGGCGGUUGGGGAUGGACUCGCGGCUUAUCAGCUUGUUGGUGGGGUAGUGGCUUACCAAGGCUUUGACGGGUAGCCGGCCUGAGAGGGUGACCGGCCACAUUGGGACUGAGAUACGGACCAGACGCGUAUGGGAGGCAGCAGUGGGGAAUAUUGCACAAUGGGAGGAAGCCUGAUGCAGCAACGCCGCGUGCGGGAUGACGGCCUUCGGGUUGUAAACCGCUUUCGCCUGUGACGAAGCGUGAGUGACGGUACUGGGUAAAGAAGCACCGGCUAACUACGUG